CUGAGCUAUGUUUUUCAUGUAGCUAUGUUUUUCAUGAGUGUCCAAAUACCUGAUUAAGCCAAAGGAACAGCCGUAUUGCUUGUUAUCCUGGCCAUGCUAACAUUCAGCCAUCACCGGCAGGAGCAAUAUUGUUGUUGAACUGGUUUGUUUCCCAUGCUGUUUGGUUGAUUACAUCAUUACUUCAAGUCUCAUGUAAUAAGCUGUGGUACAGUUGUUAGCUGGAUCUGAUGCAACUACUUUUUUGCUCAAGGCAAUCUUCAUAGGUUUAAGGAAUCCUUUCUGGGGAGUUAAAUUACUCAGAGGGGGAUCUGUGUGAUUAUUGUUCUCUCAUUCCACUCUAUUGCUUGCCAUGCUCUGCCCGGCCAUUCUAUCCCACUUUUUUCCUGCUAUAGCAUUUCAUUCUAAAACAAAAAACAAGGGAUUGAAUGUUUGUGCCCCCCAAGAUUCAUAUGUUGAGAUCUGAACCCCCAGUGUGAUGGUAUUGGGAGGUGGGGCCCUUGGGAGUUGAUUAGGUCAUAAAGGUCAAGCCAUCACAAAUGAGAUUAAGGACUUUAUAAAAAAGACCCAGGGAGUUUCCCUGUCCCUUCAGCCCUGUGAGGACACAGUGAGAAGACUGCUGGUGGUCUAUAACCAGUACGCAGGCUCUCUCCAGACACCAGAUUGGCCAGGACCUUGAUCAUGGACCUCCCAGUCACCUCAACCAUUUAUAAGCUACCCGGUGGGUGUAUCCACGCAGUGAAAUAUCAUUGGAUCCGUUGGAUAAGGACUCUGAAGAUGGCACAGCACCGUGAAUAAACCACCAUGUGACAACACCUGUGUACUGCGAUUAUGAGACAAUAGAAUCAGAUCUGAGAACACAACGAGCUUGAAAACUUUUCAGAGCCUCUGAGACAGGACUGACUGAGAACCCUCAGUCAGGGCCCCAGCCCAGACUCACAGCAAGCUAUUCCUGGGGCACUCCAGGCUUCUCCAUGACUCAGGUGAGUCUCCUGUGCAUCAUGAGAACUAUGCUGGGGACUGGGUGACUUUCAGGGCAGACCUGGAGGUGUGGCUGUUCUAAGAACCACUAGAGCUCAGCCAUGAUGAGUCAACUUGAGACUGAAACAUUAAACAG
rnacentral:lncRNA from 1 species